AACGGGACCCUUUCUGCACCUCCUCCUGUCUGUUAUGAAAACUGUGAAAUAGAUGCAAUUCCUUUCUCAAAUCAAACAAUGACUGAUUUGUUGGACCAUGAUGCGAGUAUCAUUAUAGCCUGUAACAUUGGCUACUCUACUGGUAUGGGUAUUGUAACAGAGCUCAUGUGUGAUAACGGGACCCUUUCUGCACCUGUUCCAAUCUGUUAUGAAAACUGUGACGUA